rnacentral:tRNA from 2 species
GGGCGUGUGGCUCAGUUGGUAGAGCGUUCGCUUAGCAUGGUUUCCACCUUGCGAAAGGUCCUGGGUUCGAUUCCCAGCUCGUCCA